CGGGCUGUAGCGCAGCUUGGUAGCGCGUCCGUCUGGGGGACGGAAGGUCGUGAGUUCGAAUCUCGCCAGCCCGA
rnacentral:tRNA from 2 species